ACUCUAAGAAAUAGAAAUGAGUAGGAAUCAUACAAGUAUAGAGACGGGGAUAGAAUGCCAAAUAUAGAGAACACGUAGGUGAAAUUGGCUGCAGUAUAGAAUGUAUGAAGGACAAUCAUGUGUAAUAAACCUGGCAGGAUGGCUCAGAGCCAGUGUGAAGAGCUUUAAAUGCAAACAGGAGUUUGCAUUUUUCAUAAUGACAAUAGAGAGUCACUAGAGUUUCUUGAGGAGGGUGGUACCAUGAUCUGAACUGUGGUUAAGGAAUAUCAAUCAUUUUGAUAGCUAUUCAGAAUUUAACAGAGACUCGAAAUAUUGCCACAGUCCCAGCAAAGAGAAUGGGAAGAAGGGUACAAAGGAGAUGUUCCCGGGAUUGUAGAUCUGAAAGUGAAAGGGACCUUGGAGGACUUCUAGUCUAACUUCCUCUUCCUACAGAUGAGGAAAUUUUAGGCCCACGAGGCUGUGACUUGGUCAAACACGUGGUGAUAGAGCUAAAAUGGGCACUGCAGUUCUUGGAUUCCCAAUAUCAACAAGACUUAGCGUCUCAUUGGACAGCGUGAGUGAGGAAGGAUAAGGAGUUAAGGAAGAUACCAAGAUUAUGACUCUGUGACUAGAAGGAGAGCAGUUACUUUAGAAAUUCAGAAAAGAGAUGAGGAAACUUCGGCCAACAGGGUUAAAUGACUUGCCCAAACACACAUUUUGUCUGAGAAGUGUCUGAGGCUGGAUCUAAAUUGAGGUCUUCCUGACUCCAGGAACUCCAAUCCAUUUCACCACCUACCUGUUUGAGACAUUCCGUAUAUGCUUAAUAAAAUUAAUAAUUAUAGCACAA